rnacentral:rRNA from 1 species
CCUACGGGUGGCAGCAGUGGGGAAUAUUGGACAAUGGGGGCAACCCUGAUCCAGCCAUGCCGCGUGUGUGAAGAAGGCCCUCGGGUUGUAAAGCACUUUCAGUGAGGAAGAACGCCUGGUGGUUAAUACCCAUCAGGAAAGACAUCACUCACAGAAGAAGCACCGGCUAACUCCGUGCCAGCAGCCGCGGUAAUACGGAGGGUGCGAGCGUUAAUCGGAAUUACUGGGCGUAAAGCGCGCGUAGGUGGCUUGAUAAGCCGGGUGUGAAAGCCCCGGGCUCAACCUGGGAACGGCAUCCGGAACUGUCAAGCUAGAGUGCAGGAGAGGAAGGUAGAAUUCCCGGUGUCGCGGUGAAAUGCGUAGAGAUCGGGAGGAAUACCAGUGGCGAAGGCGGCCUUCUGGACUGACACUGACACUGAGGUGCGAAAGCGUGGGUAGCAAACAGGAUUAGAUACCCUAGUAGUC